rnacentral:rRNA from 1 species
AUUGAACGCUGGCGGCAUGAUUUACACAUGCAAGUCGAACGGUAACAGGCCGCAAGGUGCUGACGAGUGGCGGACGGGUGCGUAAUGCAUCGGAACGUGCCCAGUCGUGGGGGAUAACUACUCGAAAGAGUAGCUAAUACCGCAUACGAUCUAUGGCUGAAAGCGGGGGACCGUAAGGCCUCGCGCGAUUGGAGCGGCCGAUGUCAGAUUAGGUAGUUGGUGGGGUAAAGGCGCACCAAGCCAACGAUCUGUAGCUGGUCUGAGAGGACGAGCAGCCACACUGGGACUGAGACACGGCCCAGACUCCUACGGGAGGCAGCAGUGGGGAAUUUUGGACAAUGGGCGCAAGCCUGAUCCAGCGAUGCCGCGUGCAGGAAGAAGGCCUUCGGGUUGUAAACUGCUUUUGUACGGAACGAAACGGCUCUGGUUAAUACCCGGGGCUAAUGACGGUACCGUAAGAAUAAGCACCGGCUAACUACGUG